GCAUUUUCUCAAAAUGUGAAAUUGUUUUUUACCCUGACAGAAUCUCAUAUGAUUUCAUUUCAAAAUAAAAGACUCUGUGGAACCAGGUCCAAACCUCUUAUUUUGAUGUGGUAGAGGGAGACUGACAGCAGGACUGGAUGAAGCUGCUCUAUCGGAGGAAAAUGUCUCGUGUUUUUGAAUAGAUCAUAGUUAUUUUUGGUGUAAAACAAAAAACAUUUUGAGCAGAAGAACAAAAGCCUUCUGUCUUUUCAAAGUCGAGAAAACUACAGAGAAGAGGCUCGGAUUCGGUUUACUACGCCAGGCGCAUGCGCAGCUGCUAUCAGCUACAGGUCCUAAAACCCGCCCGAGCAGCGGUGGACGAUGCGCGCGCAGCCUGCAGCGAUCUCCGGACCUGUCAGGCUAUGAAAGUGGCGCGAACUCCCACGAAGGUUCUCGAAUAAUUCCAGUCGCAGAGAGCCGACAGAGUCCGUGUGUUUCGCUGGAACUUUCUGUCCUGAGGUCUCAGGACUCGUGGUCAUCCGCUCUCUCGGUCCAUGUGAAGCUGACUCACCUGGAUUGGGACGCCGAGUCGGCUCUGAUCCAUUUUCAAGGACAGGACCUGAACGUAUGUGAAGCGGACUACAGCGUCCUGAGCGCCGAAAUCCAGCGUUUCCCCAAGGAGGAUGCUGCCGUGGAGGUUGACGAGAUCUGCCUGGUGGAGGACAGGAGCUCGGCUCAGUGGUUCAGAGGGAGAGUUCAGAACAGAGAGGAGCGCUUGUACUACGUUUUCCUGAUAGUAUCAUACACGUCUUGAUUGUUGAUGCCUCCUGCAUAUUUUCCUGCCCAAAGGAGCUGCUCUCUUUGCCUCCAAAGCUGACCAGCGGGUUCCUGGCACAUGUCCUGCUGUUUCAGAGUUGCAGUCAGCCUUCAGUGGAUCUGUUCUUCUCAAACCUGAUUGGCAGAAACCUCACAGGUUUGGUUCACGCCGUCCUCCCUCUCCACGCCGUCUUACUGGAGGCUCCGGACAUCAACCGGGAUCUCAUCCAGCACGGCUUUGGGUGGCACGUGGACACCGAUACCUUCCUGUGUUUGGUUGAGCUGCUCACAGGCGUAGCUCUUGAACGGAAGUCCGACCCCGUCCUGCAGAGGUACAGAGACUUCCUGUCCGUCUGUGGGCCCAGGUUGACUUGUGGAGGUGAGGCUGAGGUCCGGGUCACGGCUGCUUUUGACC
rnacentral:lncRNA from 1 species